rnacentral:tRNA from 1 species
GCCUGGGUGGCGGAAUUGGUAGACGCAAGGGACUUAAAAUCCCUCGGUGCUUAGCACCAUACCGGUUCGAUUCCGGUCCCAGGCACCA